CCUUUCUCCCCGCCGCAUUCCCGGUGUCGACUUACUAGCUGCAAGCCUCUGCCUGCCUUCCUGCGCGCCGUUCCCCGCUAGUCGCUGCUGCUGGCGCGCACUCGCCGGGUUUUUCCUCCCACGGCCUCGAGAUGGUGGUGAAUGUGGCACGGAGGAGCCGGGCCUUCCAACCCGGUGGGCCCGAGCUCCGAAAGGCCCCCUCGGCAGUGAGAGGGGCGGGAGCCCGCGGGGGCCGCGCCCUUCUCUCGCUUCGGACUGCGCAACGCUGCGCUCUGGGCUGACAGGCGGAUAAAACGGUCCCAUCAAGACUGAGAAAAAGCACACCAGCUAUUGGCACAGCGUGGGCAGUGGGGCCUACAGGAUGACUGACUUAGUCUACAGAGAUCCCGGCGUACUUAAGCAGAUGAAGACUCUUAAGAUGACAGAAGGUGAUUUUUCUGGUGAUCGAGGACUUCCGGGGUAAUGACAGUGAUGAAAUGCAGGGGACCUGGUUGCCCCCAAGUUUCCUGGCAGUGUGUGAUACUGAGGAGGUGAGCUUGUUUCUGGAGCUGUGCUUUAAGAUUCAUGUUACAUGUAAAGCUGUCCUCAUUUGUGACUAUGGACCUAUGGAGUUGGGACAAUCUCUAUGGGAAGCAGAAGGCAAGGACCCCGGUCAUUUUAGGUAGAAACAACAGCAUGCUAAUGCAAAAAAUUAUGCAGUGUGCUACUGAACUUCAGAGGUGAUCAAUAAAAGAAGAAUAAAAAGACUAAUAAAAGUAAAAAAAAAAAAAAAAAAAA
rnacentral:lncRNA from 1 species